AGCGAACGCUGGCGGCAGGCCUAAUACAUGCAAGUCGAGCGCACCUUCGGGUGAGCGGCGGACGGGUGAGUAACGCGUGGGAACGUGCCCUUUGGUACGGGAUAACUGAGGGAAACUUCAGCUAAUACCGUAUGUGCCCUACGGGGGAAAGAUUUAUCGCCAUUGGAGCGGCCCGCGUUGGAUUAGGUAGUUGGUGGGGUAAAGGCCCACCAAGCCGACGAUCCAUAGCUGGUCUGAGAGGAUGAUCAGCCACACUGGGACUGAGACACGGCCCAGACUCCUACGGGAGGCAGCAGUAGGGAAUCUUGCGCAAUGGGCGAAAGCCUGACGCAGCCAUGCCGCGUGAAUGAUGAAGGUCUUAGGAUUGUAAAAUCCUUUCACCGGGGAAGAUAAUGACGGUACCCGGAGAAGAAGCCCCGGCUAACUUCGUGCCAGCCGCCGCCGUAAUAC
rnacentral:rRNA from 1 species